UUCACCUAUCCAGUUUUCUUCCGUCCACUCGCCUCUUUCCCGUUGUUUGGGCUGCCCGCGAUGCCCUGCCUCUUCCCUUGCCCCGAUGCAAAUCCGUUCAGUUCUUCCACCGGCCUGUCCCACUACAGCACAACGCGCUGGAUAAAUCUGUGUUGUAACGCGAGUGGCGCGGCGCUCCCUCUCGCGGCAGCAAGCGGACAUUACAUGAAACGCCGCUUUGCGUUCGCGUUCGGAAACUAUGAAGCAGGAGGACGCGUGACGGGCGCCAGAGCGCGGUGCGUUCAAGGCCAUGAAAACAAAGCCCUCUUUGUACCCAGAUAAAAAGAUAGACGGGAACAAAAAGACAUAACAGAAAACGGGAAGAUCAAAUGAUCCCAAUAACCCCUGCAAGCCACGAGAUAAGAGGAGACAGAGCGAUUGGGAGACUGUAGCUCUGUGCCAAAACACAGCCACAUAUCUUGCAUCUAAUCCACAUCAUCUGUGAUAAAGAAAUCAAACAACGUGAGUUUCCCCAGAGGACAACACUGACUGCAAGAGGCAAAUCACAACAAUUGGUAAGGCCAGCUGAAGUUGAACACACCUAAUAAGAGGUCCUGUGACCUUAGCCAAAAAGGAAAUUCAAAGGUGGGACAUAAUUAUUUUGAUAAAAGUUUAUAAAUAACUGCUGCAUAUUACAUACCAAUAAAUACUGACAAAAUCAACUGAACCUAAUUGAAAGCCAAAUAAUACAACUGAGUCCUUUUCCUCAUUAGGACUGAUUCAUCUAUAGCCACGUCUUUAAUUUUGUAUGUCCCUCUAUCCCAUGAGCAC